UGCAGCAAGGAAGCUGGCUGUUGUUUGCGGUCAACUUUCUCUCGAUGGAACACAUAUAUUAGAAAUUACAAUGUAACACAUAAUAAUAUUUAUGUUUCAGAUUCACCCAAACACACCACAGUGUCAGUCAGUCCCUCUGGUCCAGUACCAGAAGACAGCACUGUGACUCUGACAUGCAGUAGUACUGCCAACCCAGCAGUAAGGAACUACACCUGGUACAGAGCUGAUGGAGGCCAGGAGACCUUUAUUGGGACCGGACGUGUUUUAAACAUUAAAGCUUCUGAAGUCAGUGGUCCUUUUUUCUGCAAGGCUGAAAAUGAUCUUGGAGCUGGACGAUCCAACAUCAGUCAAAUAGACGUUCAGUACCAAGUGACACUGACAGUCUUCAUCAUCAUAGUUGUUGCACUGCUAGUACUAGUAUGUGCUCUGCUGUUAGUCAACAGGGCUCAGAAGACUCGCCAUAACCUUCCUAAGGGCACCGUUGCUAUGAGUCAACUUCUAACAAGUGGAGAGGGAAACGAGGUACCCAACACAACAGAAGACGUCAUUUCUAUCAAUGCUGCUGUGCUGAGACAGGAAGAUGUCGCCCCUCCUGCAGCUGUCUCUGGCCCAAACAACGCCGACUCAGCAAGCUCUGGACCAAACAAUGCAGAAGGAGCCGAUAAAAACUCAGAGAAGAAGAAUGAAGGAGGCAGCGACGUGGUUUACGCGAGUGUGGACUGGAAGAGCAAGAGCAAGAAGAAGAAAAAGGAAGAAGACGCUGUGGACAUGGAUCAACCUGGUAGCUCCUAUCUUGAGGAGGAGAGGUGCAUGGUGGGAGGCAUGAGCAGAAAAUCUGUGAGCAACGCAAUGGAGAUGGGAAGCCUAUAUGACAAUGUAGAGCCUAGAAAUGUGAAGAAGGAAGUGGAAUGUGAAUAUGCCCAGGUUCAAUUUAAAAAAAAAAGUGAGAAGAAAUAGAUCACUUCUAUAUUGCUCUGCCUAUUUUUAAAACAAUAUAUUCAGAAUGUCUUGUUCUCUUGUACAUACGUUUCCUCAUUUGCUUUUUGUUGUUGCUUUGAAACAGAAUUUCAAAUGAACAGAAUUAUGUUUAAUUGUUUUUAAUUUAAGAGGUUUUUAACAUCUUGCAGAUUUUGUGUCACUGAAUAAUUUUGUUUUACAUGCAUGAUAUACUGUAUUUUUACUCAUAUAAUUAUGUUUGGCUUGUGUAAAUUGACAGAUCCUCUUCUGUUUUACAUUUAUUUAUUUUUACAUACCUUGCUGUAGAAACAAUAAUAAUCCAAUAAUCUGCAAAACUGCUUUCUGAUGAAAUGUUACGGAAUAAUGGUCUAACAUUGUUACAGCUGCUGUGUUCAGAAAUUAAGAGGUCAAAAGGUGACUCACUGACUGCUGUACAGCCGCUACUUUCUUAAACUGCUAAGCUUGUUUAUGGGUAAUAUUGAGUUUCAUCUGUUUGUAUCACUGUUGCUGAGUAUCAUUACACAUAAAAAAGAUGACACAGUAAGCAAAUAUUUCAAAUAUUAGUGUCAUCUGAAAAUUAUUUUACCCAACUUCUGGGAUUUGUCCUAGAACAGGAAAAAGUAAAAAAAAUAAAAAUAAAAGUUUAAAACCUGCAGAAUUCUCACAUUUAAACUGGAAAUGUACAUUGUUUAAUAAUUUUGCAAUCAAUAAAAGGUAUUUUAAAGUAUUUGUAGCUUUUCUGAUAUUGUUAAGUGUUUUAUUAACACUAUUUGCAAUGCAGUGUAUCUGUAUAAAAU
rnacentral:lncRNA from 15 species